rnacentral:rRNA from 1 species
CAGUCGCCGCGGUAAUACGGAGGGUGCAAGCGUUAAUCGGAAUUACUGGGCGUAAAGCGCAUGCAGGCGGUCUGUCAAGUCAGAUGUGAAAUCCCCGGGCUUAACCUGGGAACUGCAUUUGAAACUGGCAGGCUAGAGUCUUGUAGAGGGGGGUAGAAUUCCAGGUGUAGCGGUGAAAUGCGUAGAGAUCUGGAGGAAUACCGGUGGCGAAGGCGGCCCCCUGGACAAAGACUGACGCUCAGGUGCGAAAGCGUGGGGAGCAAACAGGAUUAGAUACCCGCGUAGUCCCUGUCUCUUAUAC